UUACGAAAUCUAAAUUUGAUUUUAUAGUGAAAUUAUAAUGUUUUUAAUACUAAACUACGUAAAUAGAAAU
rnacentral:tRNA from 2 species